GAUGAACGCUAGCGAUAGGCCUAACACAUGCAAGUCGAGGGGCAUCACAUGAAGUAGCAAUACGGAUGGUGGCGACCGGCGCACGGGUGAGUAACACGUAUGCAACCUGCCUUCAACAAGGGGAUAACCCGUUGAAAGACGGACUAAUACCCUAUAACACAGGGGUCCCGCAUGGGGAAUAUUUGUUAAAGGACAACCGGUUGAAGAUGGGCAUGCGUUCCAUUAGCUAGUUGCGGGGUAACGCCACAAGGCAACGAUGGAUAGGGGAACUGAGAGGUUUACCCCCAACUGGUACUGAGACACGGACCAGACUCCUACGGGAGGCAGCAGUGAGGAAUUUGGUCAAUGGACGCAAGUCUGAACCAGCCACGUCGCGUGAAGGAAGACGGCCCUACGGGUUGUAAACUUCUUUUAUACGGGAAUAAAGUGCCCCACGCGUGGGGUUUUGCAUGUACCGUAUGAAUAAGGAUCGGCUAACUCCGUGCCAGCAGCC
rnacentral:rRNA from 1 species